UACGGAGGAUGCAAGCGUUAUCCGGAAUGAUUGGGCGUAAAGCGUCCGCAGGUGGCUAUGUAAGUCUGCUGUUAAAGAGUGAGGCUCAACCUCAUAAGAGCAGUGGAAACUACAUAGCUAGAGUGCGUUCGGGGCAGAGGGAAUUCCUGGUGUAGCGGUGAAAUGCGUAGAUAUCAGGAAGAACACCGGUGGCGAAAGCGCUCUGCUAGGCCGCAACUGACACUCAGGGACGAAAGCUAGGGGAGCGAAUGGG
rnacentral:rRNA from 1 species